GGUAUUCCUUAUCUGUGUCUAAUACGUUGAAUUGUCAGGAGCCUGUCUCCAUGUGUUCUGCUUGUGUGGCUCGCCAAAGCACAAGGAGACAGGCCCGUCGUUGA
rnacentral:sRNA from 1 species